rnacentral:rRNA from 1 species
GACGAACGCUGGCGGCGUGCUUAACACAUGCAAGUCGAACGGAAAGGCGCUGCUUUUGUGGGGUGCACGAUUGGCGAACGGGUGAGUAACACGUGAGUAACCUGCCCUUGACUUUGGGAUAACUUCAGGAAACUGGGGCUAAUACCCGAUAGGAGCUCCUGCAGCAUGGGGGGUGUUGGAAAGUUUCCGCGUUUGGGGCUGGACUCGCGGCUUAUCAGCUUGUUUGUGGGGUAGUGGGUUACCAAGGCUUUGACGGGUAGCCGGCCUGAGAGGGUGACCGGCCACAAUGGGACUGAGAUACGGCCCAGUCUCCUACGGGAGGCAGCAGUGGGGAAUAUUGCACAAUGGGCGGAAGCCUGAUGCAGCAACGCCGCGUGCGGGAUAACGGCCUUCGAGUUGUAAACCGCUGUCGACGGUGACGAAGCGUGAGUGACGGUAAUGGGUAAAGAAGCACCGGCUAACUACGUG